rnacentral:tRNA from 1 species
GGGGUUGUGGCUCAGAGGUAGAGCACUUGCCUCACAUGUGUGAGGCACUGGGUUCCAUCCUCAGCACCUCA